UACGUAGGGGGCUAGCGUUGUCCGGAAUCAUUGGGCGUAAAGCGCGUGUAGGCGGUUCGGUAAGUCCGCUGUGAAAGUCGGGGGCUCAACCCUCGGAUGCCGGUGGAUACUGUCGGACUAGAGUACGGAAGAGGCGAGUGGAAUUCCUGGUGUAGCGGUGAAAUUCGCAGAUAUCAGGAGGAACACCGAUUGCGAAGGCAGCUCGCUGGGACGUUACUGACGCUGAGACGCGAAAGCGUGGGGAGCAAACAGG
rnacentral:rRNA from 1 species